UAUAUAUCAAGCUAGCGCACUCAGCUGAUGUAUGAAAGAACAGGCACACGAACACAUACGCGCAUACACGCACCAGACAUCUAUAUAUAAAUUAUACAUACAUAAAAUAUAAAAAGAAAAUGGGGCUUCUGUAGUUUAACCCUACAAAGGAAUAAACAAUAACCGGCUUUUAUUUGGAUUAUUUAUUUAUUUUAUUUAUUUAAAAUGAAAAAGAAAAAUAAGAAUUUUACGAAACGAACACGGUAGAUGCGUCUUCAUAAUAAUAAUAAUAAUAAUAAAAAAAGCGACGGAGGCGGUCAGUGUCUUAAAAUGACCAGGAAUACUGAUAGAGGUGGUAGGAUUAUGAUUAUAGUCUUAUUAUAAUUAGAGAUAAGGAAUGUCAGGGUACUCUAUCAUACCCUUAACACAGCCGAAAGGAGGAUAUAUAAACAGGUUUAUCGAUCGAUUUAUUAAUAUGAUAAAUAAGUGUUUAAACUAUAAAUAGGUUGCCGAUUUUUUUUCCCCGUAAAAUCAGCGCCGCUGCCCAGGAAAGUUUAAGGAUGUGGUUAGCACAUGUCGCGUGUUUACAUUAUGGUAAAUUUUUGCUUCAUUGCGGUCUUAGAGUCAAAGUAAGAAAGAAAAAAAGAAAUAAUAGUAAACAAAUAAAAAUGUAUUCGCGUCUGGUUACGGGUGACAGUCGGGUGGAUGGAAUCUAUGGGGUCACUUGAGCUAAUACAAGAAUCUGCCCUUAUGUGGUUCAUUUAAUAUAUAUAUAUAUAUAUAAUAUAUUUAUAUAAAAUAGCAGCCGAAUAUAUCUUGAAGCGAUAUAUAUUCCUCUAAAAGAAAAAAAGAAAAGAACUGUGUAUUGGAUAAUAUAUUCCAAGAGAUGCUGUGUCUAAAUAAAAAAAAGAAAGAAAGAAAAGAAAGGGAGAAAGAGAGAGGGGGAAGGGGAAACGGAUGAGAUGGUUACGGCUAGAAUGUUUGAUCAGGUCUGCAGGAUCAGAGCUGACCAGGGGCUAAACAAGUAUAUAUUUCUUUACUACCCACAAGGGGCUAAACACAGAGGGGACAAACAAGGAUAGACAAACGGAUUAAGUCGAUUACAUCGAUCCCAGUGCGUAACUGGUACUUAAUUUAUCGACCCCGAAAGGAUGAAAGGCAAAGAAGUAUAACGGAUAUACGAGGACUGAAACUGUCAUUUUGUUAUUUUAAUUGAAUUAACGGAACUUACAUAUGUAUAUAUUUAUACGUCUGCUAGUCUAUCAAGAAGAACUGAAGAAAUUCUUGGAUGUUUAAUGACAGAGAAUGAGGGAAUUAUAAAGAGAAAUUGCCUUGAUGAAUGUGGACAACUACGUAAAAAUAAUUGGAUAUGCUGAUAUACGCUACAAUUGGCUAGGACAAAAAUAACUUACAAACUGUAGAAAGCCAUCAAGGAACCAAAACUUACCUAGAAACAGAAAAAAACAAAAAAACAUUACAACAUAUAGAAAAUUAUUAACAACAAAAAGAGGAAGAAUUUUUUUUUUUCCAAAAUUCAAGAAAACAUGAGAAAAGGUCAACCACGGAUAAAAAGUAAACGGUUUACGAUAACGACACUAAAAGGAGAUGACUCCAUUAAAUAAUAACAUGGGAAAUGGAAGUUAUCUCCCUUACUCCAUAAAUUCAGAGUGACAAGCUUCAACCUGCGAAACUGAGGAGCAAAGUUCACCGUUAAGCAGAAGAACAACAUUAAUGGAAGAGAAAUGAUGGAAAAUCAUCCCUGUGUCACAGGUUCAAAUCCAGUUAUAACAUGUAGGCUAUUGCCGAACGGAGCACGAAACGGAAUUCAUCAUCGAAGCUCUACACAAACAAACAAUGAGAAGAAUGGUCAGCGUCGCAUAUAAGAAUUAUGGUUAGCGAAGUAUUCCAGGUUUUAAAUUAUUAGAUAUUCAAAGUAAUGAAGAGAGGAAAUAUGUACAGAAUUCUUGGAGACAUAAAAUAUAUGCUCUCGAAUUCAUGAUGGAAAAGGAGCAAGUUCUAAAGGGAAACACCAGAAACCUCGCGUAACAUCAACCAAUCUUUUGACCAGGAGACCAUCAACGCACAUUUAGGUUCAAGAAUUUCAUGGUAGAGUUGAAAGCUUUGACAAAGAGGAAUGUACCAGAUGACCUUCCGAAAAUGACAAUAACCGGUGGAAGGCCGAUUUUGAAUCAAACCCGCGUAUAAAUGCUAAAGAAUUUACGAGAGAAUUUAGGUAGGCACGGCAACCUUCUGGAGAAGCGGGCCGCAUGAGACAUUGCUCAUCAUCAAGCCGGCCCUACUACUAAAAAUUUCAAGGUAAUUUUUCAUUGGUAUGACAUUCAGAAAGUCCCGCGGACCGCAGUUUGCCAAUGACUGAACUAAACCUUGAUAUUAUAUGGUUGUUCGAUAUUUGUAUUAUAAUGGAAAAUCAUAAAAGCUCAAUAAAUGUGAUAUAGUAGUUGAGCUAAUAUAAAUUUAUAAAUAAAUAUAUGGAAACUCGUU